GCCUGGGUGGCUCAGUCGGUUGAGCUUCUGACUUUGGUUCAGGUCGUGAUCUCACCGUCUGUGAGUUCGAGCCCCGCGUUGGGCU
rnacentral:tRNA from 1 species